CCGCGCUGUCGUGAAGAAUAUCACUUUAAGUUUUACGGUUACACGGACUUCAAUUAAAAUAAAAAAAGUGUUUUUUCUGUAAAAGUGGAUUAGGGUUGUGAUGAAAAGGUUGGAACCUUAUGAUGACCUAAGUCGAAACUGAGUUAAUUUUGGGGCGCUCCAGUUUUAUAAGCGGCGGACAUCCAUGAUUCUAUUCCAAGAAUCGGCACAAAGGCGGAGUUUCGGUC